UUACACAUACCCAAUAAUCUACAUCACCCUCUCCCUUACUUGGACCUAAAGACCUUAACCUAUUUAUUUUCCUUGCAUUAUUAUUUCCAAUUUCAAAAUCUUUAGAACUAUUUUCAUGAUUUUUUAUUUCCACCUUUUUCACCAAGGUUACCAUAAACAUUUUCCUCUAAUGUUCCACUAUUAUUUUUUACCAUAGUUAAUUCGUGUUGCUUCACCUUCUUACCAACUUCAU
rnacentral:lncRNA from 1 species